rnacentral:rRNA from 1 species
GACGAACGCUGGCGGCGUGCCUAAUACAUGCAAGUCGAACGCUGAAGAGAGGAGCUUGCUCUUCUUGACUGAGUUGCGAACGGGUGAGUAACGCGUAGGUAACCUGCCUUGUAGCGGGGGAUAACUAUUGGAAACGAUAGCUAAUACCGCAUAACAAUGGGUGACACAUGUCAUUUAUUUGAAAGGGGCAAUUGCUCCACUACAAGAUGGACCUGCGUUGUAUUAGCUAGUAGGUGAGGUAACGGCUCACCUAGGCGACGAUACAUAGCCGACCUGAGAGGGUGAUCGGCCACACUGGGACUGAGACACGGCCCAGACUCCUACGGGAGGCAGCAGUAGGGAAUCUUCGGCAAUGGGGGCAACCCUGACCGAGCAACGCCGCGUGAGUGAAGAAGGUUUUCGGAUCGUAAAGCUCUGUUGUAAGUCAAGAAUGAGUGUGAGAGUGGAAAGUUCACACUGUGACGGUAGCUUACCAGAAAGGGACGGCUAACUACGUG